AUACGUUGGGGGCGAGCGUUGUCCGGAAUGAUUGGGCGUAAAGGGCGCGUAGGCGGCCCGGUAAGUCUGGAGUGAAAGUCCCGCUUUCAAGGUGGGAAUUGCUUUGGAGACUGGUUGGCUUGAGUGCGGAAGAGGUAAGUGGAAUUCCCAGUGUAGCGGUGAAAUGCGUAGAGAUUGGGAGGAACACCAGUGGCGAAGGCGACUUACUGGGCCGUAACUGACGCUGAGGCGCGAAAGCGUGGGGAGCGAACAGGAUUAGAUACCCUGGUAGUCCACGCUGUAAACGAUGAAUGCUAGGUGUAGGGGGUAUCGACCCCUCCUGUGCCGGAGUAAACGCAAUAAGCAUUCCGCCUGGGGAGUACGGCCGCAAGGUUGAAACUCAAAUGAAUUGACGGGG
rnacentral:rRNA from 1 species